rnacentral:lncRNA from 1 species
GGGGUCAGUGGUGGAAGUGAGACUGAAAUGGACUCUGAAGUAAUAUCUGGACUUUGAAAUUGCGCCAACCCUGAGACCAAAAUUUGGAAGGUGGCCCUGAGCAGGAGCUGAAGGGAAGUGGGAGGCAGCUGCUCCCAACCCCAGCAACUUUGCUAUCUUAGAACGGAUCACCAGUGAAAGAGGGGAAGUUGCUACUGUGAUGAAUUCUGCCAUGUGGUACCAGACUGCUGCCCAGACCACAGUGUCCUCUGCAACCCUGGUCAAAGGUGCCUACAUGUUCCUUCUAGCUUUGUUUCCCUGAUGUUCCUUGCCACCUGCUACUCCUCUCUGAGCUACUUUUCCAGCUUCUCAGAUGACCAAGAUGGUGCUGCCGAUGGUGUUGAGGACGGAGAACCCACCAAGCCC